GUUUCUAUAGUUGAAAUACAACGUUGGUUUUUCAAGCCACAGGUCUUAGUUAAAGUCUAGGUAGAAAUA
rnacentral:tRNA from 1 species